UGGAGAUAUUAGUAGGAAGCCCAUCUGUGAAAGAACAAGACCUGGGAGAAAGUGGGAGAAAGUGGUCCUCAUGGCAGGGGGUGACAGGGGUACUUCACAACACCUCUGGGCCUCUGCUUUGUGAGUUGUAAAGAAGAGUCCAAAGUCUCCCUGGGCUCUGUGGGGAUUAAAGAGAUGGUAUGUCUCUGGCUUGUAGCUGAUAUUGUCCAGCUGUUCCUCAAUGCUAAUUCCCAGAUCUCCUUCUCAUGAGAUCUAUCCCUUCCUUUCUCCUCCCAGAAUCAACUCUUAUGGCAUGCUUGUAUUUCUCCAGAUGAGGAACUGGGAAUCUCCCUCUACCCCAUUUUCCUUCUCCCUCUGUCUUUAUUUUCUUGCUGAUCUAUUGUGAGGGCAUAAACUCUAUCCCAGUCUACUUGUUUGAAAUGGGAGACAAGGGAGAUAAGAUAAACACCUUUAUAAGCAAACUUUGAGAAUUUCUUAUUACAACAUAUGUCAUUCUUCAUUGGUAUCUAUGGACAAGUUGAUAUAUCUAGCCAUAAAAGGCAAUAAACCCUCCUGCCACGCACUGAAAUCCUGAUUGCAUAGUCUGAAAGUUCAGGAUGGUGUGGUUAUUCUCUACAGUGGGCAGGCAGGAGCCUCCUGGGGUCUCCUUCAGCUGAGUGUCGAAGAAGAAGGUGUCAGGCCUGCAGGAGAGGAGAGACAGGGCUGUCCAGGCGCCUUGGAGGCCAAGGCAUGGAGGAGCAGGAGAGGAGAAACAGGGCUGUCCAGUGCCUUGGAGGCCGAGGCGUGGAGGAGCAGGAGAGCGAAGGAGAAGGUGUCAGGCCUGCAGGAGAGGAGAGACAGGGCUGUCCAGGCGCCUUGGAGGCCAAGGCGUGGAGGAGCAGGAGAGG